AGUUUGAUCCUGGCUCAGGACGAACGCUGGCGGCGUGCCUAAUACAUGCAAGUCGAACGAACGGAUAAGGAGCUUGCUCUUUUGAAGUUAGUGGCGGACGGGUGAGUAACACGUGGGUAACCUGCCUCACAGCUGGGGAUAACAUCGAGAAAUCGAUGCUAAUACCGAAUGUGCUGAACAUCAUAAGAUGUUCAAGUGAAAGACGGUUUCGGCUGUCACUGUGAGAUGGACCCGCGCUGGAUUAGCUAGUUGGUAAGGUAAUGGCUUACCAAGGCGACGAUCCAUAGCCGACCUGAGAGGGUGAUCGGCCACAUUGGGACUGAGACACGGCCCAAACUCCUACGGGAGGCAGCAGUAGGGAAUCUUCGGCAAUGGACGAAAGUCUGACCGAGCAACGCCGCGUGAGCGAAGAAGGCCUUCGGGUCGUAAAGCUCUGUUGUUAGAGAAGAACAUGGGUGAGAGUAACUGUUCACCCCUUGACGGUAUCUAACCAGAAAGCCACGGCUAACUACGUGCCAGCAGCCGCGGUAAUACGUAGGUGGCAAGCGUUGUCCGGAAUUAUUGGGCGUAAAGCGCGCGCAGGCGGUCUCUUAAGUCUGAUGUGAAAGCCCCCGGCUCAACCGGGGAGGGUCAUUGGAAACUGGGAGACUUGAGGACAGAAGAGGAGAGUGGAAUUCCAAGUGUAGCGGUGAAAUGCGUAGAUAUUUGGAGGAACACCAGUGGCGAAGGCGGCUCUCUGGUCUGUUACUGACGCUGAGGCGCGAAAGCGUGGGGAGCAAACAGGAUUAGAUACCCUGGUAGU
rnacentral:rRNA from 1 species